rnacentral:lncRNA from 1 species
UUGGGUCUGGAUUACGGAAAUGGAAAAGACCCUUUCACUCAGUUCGACAACACCAAGGCCGGUUCCAAAGCCAAGAACCUUGAAAAAGGUAUGAUUUAUGCUUCUGGCUUUUCUUCAAAGUUUGGGUGCUUUUUUCUUUUUUCUUUUUGCGGAAAGCCAUGUUUUCCCAUUUGUUUCUUGCAUGUUAUUGAUUACAUGUCGGUUUAAGUGUUCUUGCAAUGGUCUUUUUCUACUUGCAUGAAUGGUCUUAAAAACUGAAGUAGUCUAGUUCAGAAAACAAGUUCUGCGCAUCCGUUUCAGUCGUUUUAUGUAAAAGAAAAUGGUAAAGUUUGUUGUUUUCCUUGUUUAAAGAAAUACAACAAAAAAGUGUUCAUGAAAGGAACCAAGUUUGUAUUUUUAAUGUUUUUUUAUAUCUUAAAUGUUAUGGUUUUUGUUUGGGGGUGGUUUUAGUGACAAACGAGUCGACUCAGAAGACAAGCCGGGGGAGAGAGAAAGAAGGGAAGACUCAGCGAACUCGAAAGAACAUUUACAGAGGAAUCAGGCGAAGGCCAUGGGGGAAAUGGGCGGCUGAGAUAAGAGAUCCUCACAAAGGUGUCCGAGUCUGGCUCGGUACAUACAACACGGCUGAAGAAGCGGCUCGAGCCUACGAUGAAGCCGCCAAGCGCAUCCGCGG